UAUACUCAGCUUUUCCAAACACAAUACUGCCAGACAUCCCUUUCCAGCCCUGGAAGAAGCAGACGGAUCCUGCUACUGUUUCCCGGGCUCUUUGAUGGGUCUCCGGAUGGCCCAAAGAAAUACAGAUCCCCAAUAUGGCAGCUACUGACUUGAUCUCACCUAGCUUUCUUCCUUCGCCAUUUUCUAAGCCCGCUGCUCUCAAAAAUGGGUCAUUGGACGAUCCGAAAGCAUUCAAGAUAAUUCCCAAGAGCGAACCGGGAUUCAUUUAAAUAGCUAAAUCGCCCAACAGCCAGCAAUAGGAGGCGCCACCGGCAUUCCAGUUCCAACUUGAAAUGCAACACCACCCAAGGAAACCAUUUGACGAAACCAUUCGGAACAUUUAAAUCCUUUCCUGAUGGAACCUGGUCAACACAGGGCCCACGCUGCCGAAAUUUAUGACCACAUUGUUGCAUUUUUCCCUUGUUUACUUUGUGCCUCCUUCCAGAUUACACACGGAUAUCUUUGGCGUGGUAAACUCCCAGUCGACGUCCCGAUGGACUCGUUCUACUACAUUGCUCUGCGGAGAGUAUAGCGGACUCUUUAGCGUUGAGGUGGUAGUUUCCUGUACGGUCUUCAAGAACGUUCAAGAACAGUUAGGAGAGCGGCGAGACACUCUCGGUUUCGGUGUAGUUCACCUGAUGUAUAUUCAUUUUCGUCGAGAAAGAAGCAAUCAGCUGCUCCUGUCCGUCGUUGUCUCGCUGGAACAGCACCGCCCCGACUUUAACUCUUGAAGUCCGCAUGCACCAGGCCUGGUGCUGUCGUUAACGCCAUCUUCAAUGACUCCAGGGCUAAGUGGGCGUUUAGACUCAAAGAAAACUGCGAGCUACCAGUAUUCUUCAGCGAUUCAGUAAGCGGAGCAGCCAACGUCGCGAAGUUCUUUAUGAACCGGCGGUACGGUAAUUUAGCAGUCCCAGUAUCAGCAUAGACGAGUGGCUCUCGGCUAGGAUUACUCAAUACAUGAGUCUCACCAAACGCUGCACCGCGUUGCAGAAUCUGAAAGGCAUCACCCGGAAUUUGUAGAGAGGCUGACCAGGAACAGUACAGGCCGUGAAUUCCAUGUUUUUUGGAUCCAUAUUGAUCUGCCAGAUAUGUAGUACAUUUUGUCGAUCUUAGACAGAAUGCCAACGAUACUAUGUAGUGGGUCUGGACAAUACCGACUCCGAGAGCUUUCAUCUUGUUCACCUCAUCCUCGACUACUUUCUGAUUCUUGAAAACCUUGGCUCCCUCGAUCAGCACAAUUGUCUGUGUUUCCAGGCUGGUCGUUUCCAGACCAUCGUUCUCGAACGUGAGAAACACCUGCUAAACCUCUUUAAGCUGGUAGCGCCCAGUACUCGGGAUCGGCUAGUCCUCGUCGUCGUUGUCCUGUUCCAUCUCCCUAGCGUGGAUUUCGUCGACCUUUUUCAAGCUUUCGGGGUCGCCGUAGCCAUUCACCACCGGAGCCAAGCCAAAUGCUGCCAGAAGUCGAAUCCUGUACAACAGGAUCCGCUUUGUCUGUCCUCGGUAUUCCACAGGCAACUUGACACAUCUCCCAAUGCCGUUUGGACCACGGAGAGGUAUUUUUGGACGGGCACAUCAAACGCUUCAAACAGCUCUCGUCCACCUUUUCUAAACAGGCUGAUAUUCGCUCCCGUGUCCAGCCAUCCCGGCAGCUGUUGGGUCAGGACUCAGACUUAGGCGAAUGGUCGAGGGUCUUCCUUUCCAUUGCGCUUAACCACGGCAACUAUUUCUAGCCUCUGCGCUCGUCGUUUCCGGAAUCGAUCCUUGGCCUUCUGGACUUUUCUGAACAUCAAUCUCAUGAAGCUCAACUUUUGCUCCUCGAAGAUCCGGUUUCUGACCCCCAAGUACCGGCGCAUCCGAUCUUUCUACGUCCUAAGUAGGGACAUUUACUGCUUCUCGGAACUCCUCUCUGGGCGCAUCCUUUUCGGCCUGGGAUCGCCCAGUCGAUCGUUUUCCGCGCAAUCCGGGCAGUUCGGAGUGAUGACGUCCGGGUUUCCGCGUACCUAGCAGAAAAGUCUGCUGUCUCGUUCCAAUCCGGAGCCUCUUCAGCCUCAGAAAGCACUCCCUCGCUCACCCUGAGUUUGUCCCCGGGGUCAAAGCGCGGUUGCUGCCCAUAUGAGGUGCGUCCUCGGAGGCCGAAAUUGCGUUCGACCUCGAUGCAAUAAGUCGAAGAAUUCCAAAUCGGUGACAUCAUUCGGUCGGAAUAGCAUUUCGGCCACGAUGUUGGCGGAUAAAUUUUGGGUACACACUAUCACAGAUGAUAUUUUUGAAGCAACAUAUUGAUUUGUGUAGACCGAUCAUCGAAUUUGAUUUAUUUAAUCACUGCUUGGAUAUUGUCAGCAUGUCAUCCAGGUACACAAAAACGAGGCUGCGCAGACGCUGUUGGAUUACUUUAUCCAUUACUCUACAGAACCUUUUAGCCGAAUUACACAGGACGCAUAUCUAACUAGCUUAAGAUCGACUUAAGGUUUUGUAAUGGAGCCUAUUUAAUCCAGGUGUUUCUACUAGCGUCCUUCGGUUAUUCCAGGGACUUUCACUUAAAUCGAUGAGUCCUUUCCGUAGAAUUUCGUCUACUUCAGCAAACAGUAAUUGUUGUUUUGCCGUAGACACUUGAAAGAAUCCUAUAAGAACUUCAAAGGAGUAUAGGUAAUCGAUGUGUCAACCCAUUGUAGGAAAUAUUGGUCUGAAAUGCUGUGUACCUCCUGAUGAUUUCAUGAUCGAUUGUGACCUAUCUAGCCUCCGCCCAAACUUUGCAAAUAUUUCUAGGCAACCUUAUCUAAAUAAACUGACUGAUGCUACGGAAUUCAAGAGACCCACGAUUUCCGUGGAUUUUACCAAGACCUGCGCAAAAGGACUUUUAUCGCCUCUCACUGUCGGUACUAUGGCGAAACCUGUUAUUCUUUUUCCGACCUUCCGUUGAUAAUUACUUUUGGAGAAAUGUUCACAAAUAUUCGGUUCCGACCAUCUUAUUAUAUGUAUUGGUUUAUCCUUGCAAGGCUUUUAUAUGUUGCUGGAAAGCGGAUUGGAGCGUGGUCCCGGGCUUUUGACCAAGCUCCUCCAACCGUUUCCCGCUGGGUAUCGUGGACACUUUGGAGAAGCAGAACACCUUGACUACCUCAGAACGCAUGUUCUUUUAUUCCCUAAUUCAAACAUAGGUGCGCACUCUACCCUCAGACGAUCGUUAUACCCCCGGCUAUGCUCGAGGUUGCUCGGAUGCAGAGCCUACCGGGUCGCCAGUAUUUUCUCCGUGUCGUGACAUUCAUAACGGAGUUGAUCCAGCUCCAGCAUCGCCUGUGGUCCGGCAUCGCAGUAACCAUC